GCGAGGGUGGCGGAAUUGGUAGACGCACCAGACUUAGGAUCUGGCGCCUUUCGGUGUGGGGGUUCGAGUCCCCCCUCUCGCACCA
rnacentral:tRNA from 1 species